GUCCAACUUCUUAGAGGUACAAGUGGCGUUCAGCCACCCGAGAUUGAGCAAUAACAGAUCUGUGAUGCCCUUAGAUGUCCGGGGCUGCACGCGCGCUACACUGACUGGCUCAGCGUGUGUCUACCCUACGCCGACAGGUGCGGGUAACCCGUUGAACCCCAUUCGUGAUGGGGAUCGGGGAUUGCAAUUAUUCCCCAUGAACGAGAACUUCUUAGAGGGGACAAGUGGAGUUCAGCCACCCGAGAUUGAGCAAUAGCAGGUCUGUGAUGCCCUUGGAUGUCCGGGGCUGCACGCACGCUACACUGACUGGCUCAGCGUGUGUCUACCCUACGCCGACAGGUGCGGGUAACCCGUUGAACCCCAUUCGUGA